CCACCUGAUGUGGGUCGUGUGGGCUGUGGGCUGUGGAGACAGACUGUACCUAUUACAUGGCGAGAAAGUGACAUCCUUGCCGAGAUCGCUGUUGGGAAAUCCGCUUGUUUGAUUUACAGGUGGGAAGAGGGCUGUGCUGCCUCCGGGGGCCGGGGGAGGGGGGUCCUGGGGCUGCUGCACCCGUCCACGGCCCUAGGAUGUCAUUUGGAAUCCUGAGAAAACAGCUGCCACCUGGCCCUUAAGGAGCCAACCACAUAGCAGGGCCACGUCUUGGGGGUUGCUAGCAGGGGGGUGGGGGGUGAGCUCCUCCACGUUCGUGCGCGUGACAAAACCGUGCUCCUUCUUCCUUAAACAGUGUUUCCUGGUUAUUUCCUCUUGCUUGCUGCUGGCUCAAAGCCUAAAGCCACUUGUAUAACUGGGCAGCCUCAGGCCGCGUGUGCCCACGGGGGUCUCAGGCCUAGGACCCAAAUUACCACCUGGGCAUCAAAGAGCGGAGAGGACUCAGUCCUCAGUCUAGAUAAGAAAAAGGCUGGUUUUCCCUCUAACUGGAGAUGCCAAGACACGGCCCCACUGGGGAGCAGAGUCCUGUCCCCUGGGGGCCCCAUGUGCAAGCAGGACGUCCUGGAGUAGCAGGACAGGGUGAAAUGGGCCGGGUGUCCUGUGUGUCCCCCAGCAGGCCUGGCCUGGCCCCCUUCCUCCCAUACCUGCCGGGGGGGGGGGGGGGCGUGCCCAAGGGCUUCCCAGUUUUAAUUAGAACCCAGCACACCAGGAAGCAACUCUGAGUACAGACAGCCAGCUGGUUGCUCCCUCGGAAAUGACUGCAGGCGGUGACCAGAUGAGGGGCUCUGAGCAACCCCCCCCCCCGCCCCAGGGAAAGGAAGCCGGUGGCCUGCACAGGCGCCCCGCUGGCCCGGACCGGGCGGCCUGGUCUCAGCCCCCCGCAGCCCUUCCUGAGCUGGCAGACAAGCCUGCUCUCUUCCAGGGAGAGGGAGGCGGCUCUUUGUUUAUGCGGCUCAGCCAGGUUGCCCGGCCCACUCACUGCUCUGCAAUCGAGAGCAGUAAAAAGCAAAAAGCUAUAAAAUUCAGAACAAGCCAUCUGUAGAAGAACAGCUUCUUAUCACACCCCGGGAAGGCGCAGCGUUUGCGAUAGGAAUCAGUAUGUGCAAGCCCUCUACAUUGAAAACCUAUGAAAACAUCAGCCUUUCCGGAGUGUCUGGCUCCUGCCAGCUGGAUGUUAAUUGUAGCUGAAGCCUCUGCCCGUUAUUACAAAAGGAAAUAAACAUCCAGGAGUCGUUUUCAAAGCA